UAUUAAAGUUGCUGCGGUUAAAAAAGCUCGUAGUUGGAUUUCGGAGUUGUUAUCUGAACCUUCUCGCCCUAAAAAGUGGGGGGGCUAAGGUAGCAGUAGUUUUCAUCAUAGUCCAUCAGGAUACUCUCUUGAUGUGUACUGGGUGUUAACCUCCUUUUUUUCUGGUACUUGCUAUCCAGCAAUGGGGUAGUUUUUGUCCAGAUAGUUUACUUUGAAAAAAUUAGAGUGUUCAAAGCAGGCAUAAUUGGCAUCAUGAAUACAUUAGCAUGGGAUAAUAAAAUAGGAUCUUCACAAUAUAUUUUAUUGGUUUAAAUUGCGUAUGAAGAUAAUGAUUAAUAGGGACAGUUGGGGGUAUUCAUAUUGGGUGGUUAGCGGUGAAAUGCUCGGAUCCAUUCAAGAUGAACUAAAGCGAAGGCAUUUACCAAGGAAUGUUUUCAUUAAUCAAGAAC
rnacentral:rRNA from 1 species